CAGCAGCCACGGUAAUACGAAGGGUGCAAGCGUUAAUCGGAAUUACUGGGCGUAAAGCGUGCGCAGGCGGUUUGUUAAGACAGAUGUGAAAUCCCCGGGCUCAACCUGGGAACUGCAUUUGUGACUGGCAAGCUAGAGUGUGGCAGAGGGGGGUGGAAUUCCGCGUGUAGCAGUGAAAUGCGUAGAUAUGCGGAGGAACACCGAUGGCGAAGGCAGCCCCCUGGGCCAACACUGACGCUCAUGCACGAAAGCGUGGGGAGCAAACAGGAUUAGAUACCCCAGUAGUCCCUGUCUCUUAUAA
rnacentral:rRNA from 1 species